AUUGAACGCUGGCGGCAUGCCUUACACAUGCAAGUCGAACGCGAAAGAGGGGCAACCCUUGAGUAGAGCGGCGAACGGGUGAGUAAAGCAUCGGAACGUAUCCAGUAGUGGGGGAUAACCCAUCGAAAGAUGGGCUAAUACCGCAUACGCCCCGAGGGGGAAAGUGGGGGAUCCGCAAGGACCUCACGUUAUUGGAGCGGCCGAUGUCCGAUUAGCUAGUUGGCGGGGUAAGAGCCCACCAAGGCGACGAUCGGUAGCUGGUCUGAGAGGAUGAGCAGCCACGCUGGGACUGAGACACGGCCCAGACUCCUACGGGCGGCAGCAGUGGGGAAUUUUGGACAAUGGUGGCAACCCUGAUCCAGCCAUGCCGCGUGAGUGAAGAAGGCCUUCGGGUUGUAAAGCUCUUUCGGCCGGAACGAAAUCGAAUCUCUUAACACGGGGUGUGGAUGACGGUACCGGAAGAAGAAGCACCGGCUACUACGUGCCGGCCGCCGCCGUAAGAC
rnacentral:rRNA from 1 species